rnacentral:rRNA from 1 species
AUACGGAGGGUGCAAGCGUUACUCGGAAUCACUGGGCGUAAAGCGCGCGCAGGCGGUCUUUUAAGUUGGAUGUGAAAGCCUACAGCUCAACCGUAGAACUGCAUCCAAAACUAUUAGACUAGAGUGUUGGAGAGGAAGAUGGAAUUAGUUGUGUAGGGGUAAAAUCCGUAGAGAUAAAUAGGAAUAACAAAAGCGAAGGAAAUCUUCUGGAACACUACUGACGCUGAGGCGCGAAAGCGUGGGGAGCAAACAGGAUUAGAUACCCUAGUAGUCC